AUGACUGCACCCCCCUACCCCCCGCCCCUGUCGAGCCGCCCCGGUCAAAGAUGUAGGUGGACUGGAGUUGUCGCGGAUGUCCAGAUGUGCCAGCGCCUUGAGGAUGGGCAAAUCUGCCACUACGCCUUGGCGGAUGGGCACACCACAGUGACAUGUAUGGGAGGAUGUGCCAAUGCACCAUCGCAGAUGGUCGGAUGUGCCACCAUGUCACCGCGGAUGGGAAGAUCUGCCACUCCACCGCCGCAGAUGGGUGGACAGGGCACGCGUCGCCAUGGAUGGGCAGAUGGGCCGACACGGUGCCAAGAAUGGACGGAUGUGCCACCGCAUUGUCGCGGAUGGGAAGAUCUGCCACCGCACCGCCAUAGAUGGUGGAUGUGGCACGUGUCAUCACAGAUGGCCCGAUGUGCCAUCGCGUCGCCGCAGAUGGGAAGACCUGUCACCGCUCCACCGCGGCUGGGUGGACGUGGCACCACAUCGCCGCGAAUGGGCAAAUCUUCCACCGCACCACAACCGGUGGGCAGAUCUGCCACCGUGGGUGGACCAAGCUAA
rnacentral:rRNA from 1 species